rnacentral:lncRNA from 1 species
GAUUGUUAUCCGAGUUCUGAGGGAUCUGUGCCGCUGCCUGCCCCCCUGGGGGGCCCUGCCGGCCUGGGCCAUGGAGCUGCUGGUGGAGAAGGUUCUGAGCAGUGCACCCCGGCCCCUGAGCCCAGGGGAUGCCAUGCGUCGGGUGCUGGAGUACGUGGCCACGGGCGCGCUCCUGACAGAUGGCCCAGGGCUACAGGACCCUUGUGAGAAAGGACCACAGGAUGCCCUGGAGCCCAUGACCCCACAGCAGCGAGAAGACCUGACAGCCAGUGCACAGCAUGCCCUGCGUCUUGUGGCCUUCCGGCAGAUACACAAGGUCCUGCACAUGGAACACUUACCUCCACGGACCAGAUUCGGGGCCCGGAAGAGGAUGAGGGAGGCUAGUCAGACCCAGGAGGGGGCCAGGGAGAGGAAGAGGGGCCGGCAGGGCACAGCAGGGCUGCCUUGAACCAGCUAUCACCAACCUACACAUCCCAUACCUGAACAGGUGUGGUCCCUCCAGCUGCUGGCUCCUGAAGUGGGACGCCUUUGUCAUUGUGUCUGUAGAUUUAUUCAUGAUGCUGUGGGGGUCCCCCUGAGGUGACCCCAUGCCCAUGGCUGUCACCUACCCACCCCCAAGCCAGAUAGCAGUGACCUCCUUGGUACUAGUUGCUAUGUGAAGCUCCCUUGAUGUCCUAAGAAGUCAAUGGGAUCUGGAUCGCUUCCUUGAGAUGCC